AACGAACGCUGGCGGCAUGCCUAACACAUGCAAGUCGAACGAUGCCUUCGGGCAUAGUGGCGCACGGGUGCGUAACGCGUGGGAAUCUGCCCUUGGCUUCGGAAUAACAGUUAGAAAUGACUGCUAAUACCGGAUGAUGUCCCCCUGAGAGAUCUUGGGGACCAAAGAUUUAUCGGCCAGGGAUGAGCCCGCGUAGGAUUAGGUAGUUGGUGGGGUAAAGGCCUACCAAGCCGACGAUCCUUAGCUGGUCUGAGAGGAUGAUCAGCCACACUGGGACUGAGACACGGCCCAGACUCCUACGGGAGGCAGCAGUGGGGAAUAUUGGACAAUGGGGGGAACCCUGAUCCAUCAAUGCCGCGUGAGUGAUGAAGGCCUUAGGGUUGUAAAGCUCUUUUACCAGGGAUGAUAAUGACAGUACCUGGAGAAUAAGCUCCGGCUAACUCCGUG
rnacentral:rRNA from 1 species